rnacentral:rRNA from 1 species
GACGAACGCUGGCGGCGUGCUUAACACAUGCAAGUCGAGCGAGUUGAUUCCCUUCGGGGAUGAAGCUAGCGGCAGACGGGUGAGUAACACGUGGGCAACCUGCCUUAUAGAGGGGGGUAGCCUUCCGAAAGGAAGAUUAAUACCGCAUAACAUCAGAUUAUCGCAUGGUAGACUGAUCAAAGGAGCAAUCCGCUAUAAGAUGGGCCCGCGUCGCAUUAGCUAGUUGGUGAGGUAACGGCUCACCAAGGCGACGAUGCGUAGCCGACCUGAGAGGGUGAUCGGCCACAUUGGGACUGAGACACGGCCCAGACUCCUACGGGAGGCAGCAGUGGGGAAUAUUGCACAAUGGGGGAAACCCUGAUGCAGCAACGCCGCGUGAGUGAUGAAGGCCUUCGGGUUGUAAAGCUCUUUGAUCAGGGACGAUAAUGACGGUACCUGAAGAACAAGCCACGGCUAACUACGUGCCAGCAGCCGCCGCCGUAA